ensembl:lncRNA
CAUUUCCACCAAAAAUUCCCCGGAAUUACCCCAGAAUUCCCACAUUUCCACCAAAAAUUUCCAAAAUUCUCCUCAAAAUUCCCACAUUUCCUCUGGAAUUCCCCAAAUUCUCCACAAAAUUCCCAAAUUUCCCCAUGAAUUCCCGAAAUUCUCCUCAAAAUUCCCGAAAUUCUCCUCAAAAUUCCCGAAAUUCUCCUCAAAAUUCCCACAUUUCCCCUGGAAUUCCCCAAAUUCCUCCCAAAAUUCCCAAAUUUCCCCUGGAAUUCCCGAAAUUCUCCUCAAAAUUCCCACAUUUCCCCUGGAAUUCACGAAAUUCUCCCCAAAAUCCCCAAAUUCUCCCCAAAAUUCCCCAAAUUUCCCCUGGAAUUCCCGAAAUUCCCCCCAAAAUUCCCAAAUUCCCCCCAAAAUUCCCAAAUUUCCCCUGGAAUUCCCGAAAUUCUCCCCAAAAUUCCUCCAAAAUUCCACCAAAUUUCCCCCCAAAAUUCCCACAAAAUCCUUCCCUCCCACAAAAUCCCCAAAAUUCUGCCAAAAAUUCCCCAAAUUCCCCAGAAAAUUCCCAUAAAAAUUCCUGAAAUUCCCACAAAAAUUCCCACAAAAAUUCCUACAAAAUCCCCAACAUUCCCCUCAAAAUUCCCCCCAAAAUUCCUGAAAUUCCCCCUCAAAAUUCCUGAAAUUCCCCACAAAAUCCCCAAAACUGGUCUCAAAAUUCCUCCCAAAAUUGCCCCCAGAACUCCACCAAAACUUCCUGGAAUUCCUCCUAAAAUUUCCCCCAAAAUCCUCCCGAAAUUCCCAAAAUUCCCACAAAAUCCUUCCCAAAAUUCUCAGAAAAAUCCCCAAAAUUCUGCCAAAAAUUCCCAAAAUUCCCCACAAAAUUCUGCCAAAAAUUCCCGAAAUUCUCCCCAAAAUUCCACCAAAAAUUCCCCCAAAAUUCCACCAAAAAUGCCUGGAAUUCCUCCUAAAAUUUCCCCCAAAAUUCCCCCCAAAUCCUCCAGAAAUUCUCGAAAUUCCCACAAAAUCUUUCCCAAAAUUCCCAAAAAAAUCCCCAAAAUUCUGCCAAAAGUUCCCGAAUUCCCCUCAAAAUCCUUCCCAAAAUUCCCAGAAAAUCCCCAAAAUUCUGCCGAAAAUUCCCAAAAUUCUCCCCAAAAUUCCUCCAAAAUCCCAAAAUUCCACCAAAAAUCCCCCCAAAAUCCCCACAUUUCCUCUGGAAUUCCCCAAAUUCCCCCCAAUUUUCCCCCAAUUCUCCCAAUUUCCCCCAAAUUCCCCCAAAUUUUCCCAAAUUUCCCAUUUUUCCGUCCCAGCCCGCUGAGUUUCCCGGAGUCGCCCCGUUCCGGCUCCGCCUUCCGCCAGAGCUCCGGAAGCUUCUCCGGCACCGGCGGCGCCCGCGGAGCCCCAGAGAGGCCGCAGAGGGGGGCGGAGCCGCAGCCCGGGAAUUCCGGGAAUUCCGGGAAUUCCGGGAAUUCCGGGAGCUCCGGACACUCCGAGGCCGCCGGACACGAGGGAGGCACCGAGAGGCUCAAGGCGGGUACGGAAAAUUCGGGAUUGGGAGGGAAAAUCGGGGAAAAAAUUGGGAAUUUCCAGGGAAAAUCCGGGAUUUGGUGGGAAAAAUGAGGAAUUUGGUGGGAAAAUGGGUGAAA